GCAUAGUUCAGUCAGUAGAGCACAAGACUUUUAAUCUGAGGGUUGUGGGUUCAAGCCCCACGUUGGGCA